CUGGCUUUCUCCAGAAGCUUCUUUCUCUGUGUUCAUCAUCUUUUUUUAUUCUCGUUCAUUUUUCAGCACUAAAUUCAUAUGUUUACAUGGUAUCAGAGCCUGAUAAUGUUCCGAUCCUCCUAUGUCAUGUGUUAUCGAUCUAGUGUGGUUCAUAUGUUUACGUGGUAUCAGAGCCUAAUAAUAUUCCGAUCCACCUGUGUUAUGUGUUAUCGAUCCUGUGUGAAGCGUUUGCUGAAAGUUUUCUCAUGGUUGACCAAGAGAGAUGCUGUUCACAACUGUUCCGAUGAACAUUUGGUGGACAAUCGGACUUUUUCUGUCAUUUGAGGUUCUGAUUUAGUGUCAGCAGAUAAUUUCUCAUGGUUACCCAAGAGAGAUGCCGUUCACAACUGUUCCGAUGAACAUUUGGUGGACAAUCGAACUUUUUCUGUCAUUUGAGGUUCCAAUUUAGUGUCAGCAGAUGUUUUGGGUAAUUUUUCGAUGUCUGUGGCCUUAUUCCGACGAGUUGUUCGACUUCUAGGGUUUUCAAUUUUCUGACCUGGAGUUUGAUGUUAUCCGAUGACUUUAUCUUCGGUUAAUAGACGUUUUGGGUGACUUUC
rnacentral:lncRNA from 1 species